UAGGGAAUCUUCCGCAAUGGACGCAAGUCUGACGGAGCAACGCCGCGUGAGUGAAGAAGGAUUUCGGUUCGUAAAACUCUGUUGUUAGAGAAGAACAGCGCAUAGAGUAACUGUUAUGCGUGUGACGGUAUCUAACCAGAAAGCCACGGCUAACUACGUGCCAGCAGCCGCGGUAAUACGUAGGUGGCAAGCGUUGUCCGGAUUUAUUGGGCGUAAAGCGAGCGCAGGCGGUCAAUUAAGUCUGAUGUGAAAGCCCCCGGCUCAACCGGGGAGGGUCAUUGGAAACUGGUUGACUUGAGUGCAGAAGAGGAGAGUGGAAUUCCAUGUGUAGCGGUGAAAUGCGUAGAUAUUAAAAAGAAUACCGGUGGCGAAGGCGACUUACUGGGCUCAUUCUGACGCUGAGGAACGAAAGCGUGGGUAGCAAACAGG
rnacentral:rRNA from 1 species